GUGAAUCAUCAAAUUUUUGAACGCAAAUUGCACUCUCUGGUAUUCCGGAGAGUAUGCCUGUUUGAGGGUCAGUUGAAAUAAAAAUAGGUGUGGUUGCUGUCUGUAGUGGUGACGCACUGGAUUUGGGUCGUGUUGCCUUCGGUUAAGUGACAUAAUAUUUUGCAUGAUUUUUUCGAAAGUAUUUAAUUGAUUUUACGUACGUCUGCGAUAUCGAAUACUAGGUGUGGUCAUCCUCAUGAUUAGCACCUAUA
rnacentral:misc_RNA from 1 species